GCCCCCGUAGCUCAGUGGAUAGAGCAACGGUUUCCUAAACCGUAGGUCGGAUGUUCGAGUCAUCUCGGGGGCG
rnacentral:tRNA from 1 species